AGUAAUGUGAAUAUUUACGUCAGCUGACAUCAAAUCAACUGACUACAAUUACAGUUUAGGUUUUUGUUAGAAUAACCAAAAAUAUAUUCACAUUUACGUUUGAUAACUUGCAUGUAAAUAGCUACUAAGCAUGUAUAUCUUCUAAAGCUAGGCUGUAGCGAAAAGAGGUUGCUAAAGCCAGCUAGCUUACUCAAUUGUAAACAAAGUAACGUUAUUUCAAGUGUUGUCGGGAUGUGUGUGUUUUAACGCGUGACUAUGGACAAGCUAGCCAUAUAUGUUGGUCAUAUUCAGUCCAGGCUAAUAGACCAUAGGCCUGUCGUACAAGGGGAGAUCUGCUAUUUUAUGAAUUUGAGGAAAAACUUGGAUUCAGAGAGAGCCGUUUCCUGGACAACCUGAACAAAAUGGUGGUGGAGACCAAUGAGCAGUCGUUGCCCAAAUGUUCAGAGCACAUGCAUAAGCACCUCUGUGAGGCCCUCACACGAUUGGAGGAUGGGAAGCACACGUCACAGAGGAUCCAGUAGAGGGAGCUAUAGGCAGACCAAGUAAAGACACAGGCUCUCUUCAAAGCCCAUGAAUUACCAAUAGUGAUUUAACCAUUCACAGGCAUGGAUUGUGACAACAGACCAGGGCCCAGUUUCUCGUUAUCGAUGGAACUUAGGCUUACGAGUGUAUGAACAAAGAAUCGUACAACAACCGAAGAAGUCGCUUAAUGUUUCCCAAAACACUAAGCAGGGAGAACUUUCACUAAGUCCGUCGUUGGAGCAGGUGUCAUUACUGAUAGGAUCGAAAGAAAGGCAGCGCUGCUCACGGAUCAGAGCACCCAGUUGCAGGUGACCAUAGACAGACAGAAGGAGGACUGGGAGGAGGUGGACGAAGAGCAUACCAAGGACAUCGGACACCUCAGCAUCAUGUACUGCGACAUGAAGAAGGAUCUGGCCAAAUUCUCUCACUUUCAAUCCUCGGUGUGUCUGUCUGUCUGCUUGAAAUUAAGUUGUUGAAUUUGAUUGAUGCGGUACUUAGUCGUUGGCACUAACAGAGGACUUCUGAGGACAAAAGUCAACAGUUUCCAGAUCACAAAUGACAAAGUGUGAUUAACAACGUGGCAUUUUCACAGCCCUUCAAAAUCACAAUUUUCUGGCAUAAGCACAUGGAAUAUGUAUGUCAAGUUCUGGAAAAAUGUCAUUUUUAAACCAUAAAUUACAUGAUUGUUCCUUGGCUGCUAAACUUCUUUUUUUAAUGGAAUUAUGCUAGGAGGUGUUGAUAGAUGUGUGUUUUCUAUGGUAGGGCAGAUUUUCAAACCGUCAAAUAAUUUUGGCAACAGGGAUCUUGGUCCAGGAGGGGAUUGAAUGUCUCCGCUGUAACCAAGAAACUUGAUCUUGACAUCUGGCCACUUAGCUAGCCAGGUUAUUAUUAUUAUAUAUAUAUAUAUAUAUAUAUAUAUAUUUUACAUUUAUUUAACUAGGCAAGUCAGUUGAGAACAAACUCUUAUUUACAAUGACGGCCUAAGUUAGCAAACCAAAUUCAUAGCUGGAGCCCUGAGUUGGAUAUAAUUUGACACAUCUUAGAUUUCUUCUAGUUAUAUUUAUAGAUAUAAAUGGUGGCGUAGCACCCCCCCCCCACACACACACACACACACAAAAAGACGUUUGAACAGUAUUGAAAGUCAUAACGUUGGUAUUUUGAAAUACCCCGGUAUAUGGUAUCAACUGUAUAUCACCCAAACCUAAUGUUUGCCUCCAACUGAAUAAGAAAAUAAAGAUUUUGCCACUGGUUUAGGUAUUUGAAGCUUCAGGCGAGUGAAUCUCAGAAGUGCUAUUCAAAGCUGGGUUGUCAACGGCACAGGUCAACAUCUCGAACUUUACUCACCGAGCAGUUUCCCUAACUAGGCGUGCCUCACCAACUCUUCAGAUUAAGGUACAGUGAACCUUUGACAUCAAGUACAACUAGCAACCUCUCAAAAUAAGUACAUCAGAAAUGGUUUUAGUGAAGCAAACUCAAGCUGUCAGAAAUGGACAUUAUUUAGUAGUGUUUCCUGGACCUCUUAUGUACCUUGUUAAAUGGAGAGGUAUUCUUGUAGCGCUGUAUGAAGUGUUUUGUUUAAAGACAGUGUUUGCACUGGGCAAUGGCAUGCUGUUUCGACUGAUAGAUGGAUGGGCACGCUGACACAUUCCUGACCUGCUGGGAACAGGAUUCAUCUUGGCAGAAAGUGACAGAACAAAUAUUUUAAAUGGCUCUCAUGAACACAGAAUGUGGGCACGGACUCCUUAAAUAAGACUUCAUUGUUGCGUGGGGGGGGGUGCAGACCUCAUCAAUCAGUAUAAGUAAAAUAAAGUGUUG